rnacentral:rRNA from 1 species
GACGAACGCUGGCGGCGUGCCUAAUACAUGCAAGUCGAGCGAGACUCUUCGGAGUCUAGCGGCGGACGGGUGAGUAACACGUGGGCAACCUGCCUGUAAGACUGGGAUAACACCGGGAAACCGGUGCUAAUACCGGAUAAUCCUUUUCCUCUCAUGAGGGAAAGCUGAAAGUCGGUUUCGGCUGACACUUACAGAUGGGCCCGCGGCGCAUUAGCUAGUUGGUGAGGUAACGGCUCACCAAGGCGACGAUGCGUAGCCGACCUGAGAGGGUGCUCGGCCACACUGGGACUGAGACACGGCCCAGACUCCUACGGGAGUCAGCAGUAGGGAAUCUUCCACAAUGGACGAAAGUCUGAUGGAGCAACGCCGCGUGAGCGAUGAAGGCCUUCGGGUCGUAAAGCUCUGUUGUUAGGGAAGAACAAGUACCGGAGUAACUGCCGGUACCUUGACGGUACCUAACCAGAAAGCCACGGCUAACUACGUGCCAGCAGCCGCCGUAACAC